AGCUUUGCGCAGUGGCAGUAUCGUAGCCUAUGAGAUCUAUCCGAGGCGCGAUUAUUGCUAGUUGAAAACUUUACCCAAUACCCCGCCUUGACGACUUGAAAUAUAGUCAGCAACGGCAAUUUUGACAGUCUCUAAGGAGA
ensembl:snRNA U4 U4 spliceosomal RNA